rnacentral:rRNA from 1 species
UGGGGAAUUUUGGACAAUGGGGGAAACCCUGAUCCAGCCAUCCCGCGUGUGCGAUGAAGGCCUUCGGGUUGUAAAGCACUUUUGGCAGGAAAGAAACGUCGUGGGUUAAUACCCCGCGAAACUGACGGUACCUGCAGAAUAAGCACCGGCUAACUACGUGCCAGCAGCCGCGGUAAUACGUAGGGUGCAAGCGUUAAUCGGAAUUACUGGGCGUAAAGCGUGCGCAGGCGGUUCGGAAAGAAAGAUGUGAAAUCCCAGAGCUUAACUUUGGAACUGCAUUUUUAACUACCGGGCUAGAGUGUGUCAGAGGGAGGUGGAAUUCCCGUGUAGCAGUGAAAUGCGUAGNUAUGCGGAGGAACACCGAUGGCGAAGGCAGCCUCCUGGGAUAACACUGACGCUCAUGCACGAAAAGCGUGGGGAGCAAAC